UUUAUUAGGCUUUUCUUUCAUUCUCAGACAGCUUCACCUUGACGAAGGCCAGAGUUCCAACAGAAGAACCCCGAGCAUGAUGCUGCCCCACCACUGUAGGGCGGCCAUUUUGCCCCUUCCCGUCGACUAAAGAUGACGUCGCAGUUGCGCAAGGUUCAGGCGCAGUUUUGGGAUCAGCAGCUGUUGCGUUUGGGCCCUCUUGAGCGCUCCCACCCUACUCAUUGCUUUGGGAGGUGAUGAACUGUCAUUCAAAGAUCUGUGCUGCCCUCUGCUGGAUUUCUGCUUCCUUCCGAAUGACCUACAAGUCAGCUGAACAA